GACUUCGUGGCCAAGUUGGUUAAGGCGUACGACUGUUAGCAUCGUAAGAUCGAGAGUUCGACCCUCUCCGAGGUCG